CCGCCUGGGGAGUACGACCGCAAGGUUGAAACUCAAAGGAAUUGACGGGGGCCCGCACAAGCGGUGGAGUAUGUGGUUUAAUUCGACGCAACGCGAAGAACCUUACCAGGUCUUGACAUUGAUGGACGAAACAAGAGAUUGUUUUUCUCCUUCGGGAGCCAGAAAACAGGUGGUGCACGGCUGUCGUCAGCUCGUGUCGUGAGAUGUUGGGUUAAGUCCCGCAACGAGCGCAACCCCUAUCUUAUGUUGCCAGCACUUCGGGUGGGAACUCAUGAGAGACUGCCGCAGACAAUGCGGAGGAAGGCGGGGAUGACGUCAAGUCAUCAUGCCCCUUAUGACCUGGGCUACACACGUACUACAAUGGGCUUUAAUAGAGGGAAGCGAAACCGCGAGGUGGAGCAAACCCCAGAAACAAGCUCUCAGUUCGGAUCGUAGGCUGCAACUCGCCUACGUGAAGUCGGAAUCGCUAGUAAUCGCAGGUCAGCAUACUGCGGUGAAUACGUUCCCGGGCCUUGUACACACCGCCCGUCACACCACGAAAGUCGGAAGUACCCAAAGCCGGUGGGGUAACCUUCGGGAGCCAGCCGUCUAAGGUAAAGUCGAUGAUUGGGGUGAAGUCGUAACAAGGUAGCCGUAUCGGAAGGUGCGGCUG
rnacentral:rRNA from 1 species